UAUGGGUAUACAUUUAUAUACAAAUAUUAGUUCCUUUGCCAAACAAAAGGUCUCUAGAAAGACCCAUUUUAUUUCAUCGACAAGGUACACACGCACACACACGUACACGUUUUAAUUAUGCCAAAUUGUUGCCCAAAAUUCGAUCGUCGAUGACUUCCUGCUUCAAUCAAACCACCCAGUUAACCCCCGUGGCGUUUCGUUUCCCAGACCCCCAACUCUGGCCACUGUGUGACGUUGUAAAUCACAGUGGACAAAGACGCAAUACAUAAUGUUCAUCGCUCAUAAAAAAGGAUGUGCGACGUGCGCAGCAAUUAAAUAUCGACUUCAGCAAUCUCGCACGGAGACGAAUAAUAAGGUACUCGGUCCUGUGAGACGUACGAGGAAAUCAAUUUAAUAUAUUUAGAAAAAAAAAAACACAAAAAGCACACACAUAGAGCUGCUACCUUGUCGAGACAUGUUUCGAAACGUUUGCUCAGUGUGUGUGUGUGUGUGCGUUUGUUGGUGGUAGAGUUGCUCUGGUAUUUCGCUUUGUGGUGUGCGUCUGUACGGCCGUUGAAGGCCAGCUGAUGAUAAACCAACACCAAUCCCAGCUCCGUUUCCACAUGGCCUUGCUGCGCUUCGUUUGUGUUGCAAUCAACCCGUUUUUUUUUUAAAUGUGUCACACCGAAAAUGUGUUGAGCGAAAAAAUGAACCUAGCACGGGGGAAUGAGCAAGUUGAGCUCUUUUAAAAAUGUAUGAUUAAAUGUACAAUUUAAGCAGUUUUUAUUGAUUGCACUGCAAAUGUAAUGCCCGUUUGCUCCUCACACAGUAUCCGUGUAAAAACGUGCGAAGCGAAGCGUUUGCUCUGUAUGGGAAAAUAGCCAUCCAUCCAUCCAUUCUCACACGCUCGCUGUAGUGGUGUAAGCGCUGUGAGCAAAAUCAAAGGUCUCUUUUAUUGUACCAUUACCUCCAACCUCGAGCAACCGUUUUUUUUCUGUUGCAUUACCAUCUAUUAUUCCCGUUUCCCCAAUCACCACCAUACAUUUACAUUCAUUUGACCGUUGCAGUGCAUCCGCAUGCACCCUACCAACGCAUACACACGCGCUCGCUCGCUCGUACGCACACACCUACCCAUAGCGUGUAUCGUCGUCGCUGGCGCAAGGGGUUAGUUCGUCGAAAGCGACGACCGUUACGUUCAGAAAGGUGCGAGCCGUCGGCCGAGACUGGUGCUGUUUUUUUUUGUGCCUUGUGCUUCCUCUGUCUGCUGAGCGCCGUGGCGUACGUGACGUGUCGUUGUAUUUGAAAGCGAGACAGCAAGCUAGUCGAGCAAUAGUGCUUGUGUGUGCGUUUGUGUGAAUGCAGAAUGAACGAGAUUUUGUUUCUUUUUCAUUGUGAAAGUAGCAGCUUCACGAUGCACGGAAAACCAGCACCGGUCGAGACAGCUACGCAUCUUUCUCCUAUCCUAACUCUGCUUUUCCUUGCCAGAAUUUUUUAUGGGACCUGACUUGCAUUACUAUAGAGUGUGGCCAAUUGAUGUACAUCCUUCACUAAAGGGCGAAAGAAGCCUACGGUACUGGAGAUCACUUUUCUAUUUGACGGUUCUGGCGGCGGCGUUUUGCAUUCCUGCUUCGAGCAAAAGCAAAGGAGGCGAACGAAAAAAAAACAGAGAGUGAGAGAGACAUACGAGGAACGCGAAUGGCACUGAUGGAAAAUCUUUCAAGGAAGGCCACAUCUUCUACCCAAGCUUCCAGGCGGGUAUACAAUGGGUGUACUUUUGUUUUUUUUUCUCUCUAUCAUAUGGAAAGUAUUUUCGUGGCAAAAUCGGGCAAAUUUUAGCUUUCUUUGACAGCCGUACCUCCUCUCGACUGCCCCCAUCCGUCUUUCGACCAUUAUGAGAACCGCCGGCACUACCACUGUAUACAUUUAAGGGCCAGCAGCUGCGUUUUCACGGCAACGGGCAACCCCUUUUGUGCACCCAGAUCUGACGAAUAUUUAGCCCACGCGCUGCCCACGUGUGACAUUCGUGGCUUUGGGACCAAUUUCCACCUUUCUACACUAAGUAUCAAAUGUAAAUGGGUUUGAGUGUUGGGCCAAUCCUCGGUGAGAAGUGAGUUACUUGUUUUGUGACAGGAAAAAAAAGAUGUCGUAUUACACCUCACCUCGGUGGGGAGGAAAAACAGUGGGGAACAGGCCCGUCAUACCGUGUCCCAAUGAUGGAGAAGCUUCCGGCUAGCCGGCGUGCCAGAGCAGUCUUCCGAAGAAGAAAGGUAUCUUUUGUAAUCGUACUUAAUUUCAACGACAUUUUUUGUUUUUCCUCUUAGCAAAACCUGCCAUGUGGUGCAGCAAUAGAGCGCAUACAAAAAUACGUAACACUUUUUCCUUCACUUACGUUUCUCACAUCUCACCGAGUGAUGCCUCAUGGCGUUUUAGUAAACGGCCAGAAGAGUAGAUUUGCGAAACCAUUUCGAGUCGUGCUGACUCGCUUAAUGCACACCGAGCUGUUUAGCUUCGCCCCCUUUUUUUAGGAUGCAGCGUCGUAUUGAGAUGGGAUACAAUCGUAGAAUUAUAAGGACGCACAAUCACAUGUGUAAGAGACAUGUAAGAGAGAGCGAGAGAGAGAGAGAGCUCGGCGAAACCUCAAGGGACGUCCGUUCGGCUAAAAAGCGGUGGCGACCCGCUGUGAAGACGACUUGAUCCCGACCAAAGACAGCGAGCAGGUGCAACUGGUAGUGUGGUGUAGAUUUGCUUAUCACCUCCCUAUUCUCAGGUUGCGCUCCUCCAUUGCCUGGACUACCACUGCCUUCACACUUCAGAAUACGCGCAGUUGCGAAGGAUGGGGAACGAAUUGGGCUCACACUGUACUGGAAUUGCUACGUCUGUAGGAAAAGGGAUUGCUCCAGCUCAUUCCAAUCGGUUCAUUAUGACAUCCAAUACCCGGGCCCCUCAUCAUAAAAUUGUAUCUCCUCAUCAUAGAAUUGUGCAACGCGCCGAAGACAUCUCCUGGCUCGCGCUUAGGCGUACCUGCGCACGGGAAUGAUAUGGAAGCUGUUUCCAGUUUUGCAAGUUGCUAGCGACCGUUUUCAAAGAUGCCUAUCGUCUUCGUACCAUUGCGCACAGACGAUUGGUCAGUUUCAUCCAGCUGCACUACUACCCCAACUGGGCCACUGGUUGGCAAUAAGUGGCUGUGGAUUAAAGUAUCUGAUGGCGGAGAAUGGAGUUGGUCUACAACCGCGCGAGUGUGUCUACUGCAUUCUUCUAAGACGUGUGGUCGCUGCGUGAUGGCGGGUUUUGAAGACGUCAGCGAUGGUGCAACCUGCCCAUCGCUUCGUUGCAGCUUGCUGUCUGGCCAAUUUUUCACUUCACUCAUUUUUUUUUGUCUCCUCGGAAGACGGGCAUCAGACAUGCAAUAGAAGCUACGACGUGUAUAGAAGAACGUCUUCACGCUGUUCCAGUUGGAAGAAGCUGGUGGAGACCUAACUCGACGAGCGCCCAGCUUUUGUGUCUACUUCAUCCCUCCUGGCAACGUUUAGAAUGUUGCUAUGUUUCACCGAAGGAGAUAUCUCGUCGAUGUGCCAUGGCAUGUGUGCCAUAGGAGUUUGCGCGGUCCAUCCAGAGACCUGUGGAUACGCACUUGGGCGCUAGUUCCCCUCACGUUGGCUCUGACUGUAGCUCGGACCAGCGUUUCGCAAAAAGUUUCUCUCGAAAGCCCAGGCAAGCGUGAAGAGGAAGCAGACAGUCGCGAGAAGAUGGGCCCAUCAUCGGUUAGGGUUUUCGGUUCCGGAGCGACGGGAUGGCGGGUUCCUGUGGUGGUGGUUGCGGCGGCGGCUUCCGGGUUCCGGAGGAGACGGUUUUGCUCGGCAAGCGCGAAGAGCCCCUGGACACGGACAGUGUGCCAGCAGGUGGCCAGCGAGAAGAGAGCAAAAUCCAACGACGGCUUUUAUUCUAGAAGAUGGCAGACUACGGCAGAAUCUCUUGAAAGGUGACGUCAUUUUUGCGUGACUGCCCUUUUGAUGCAAGUGCGCGGUCCAAUGUCACCGAAUGGUCGCCAAUGAUUUGAAUGGGAUAUUUCUGAGCACUAUCCUAUGGCUAUGGCGUAGAGCGUACGGAGCGCAAAGAAAUUGAACAUUAGAUCCAGCGUCGGAUGGAAGAGAUUUAACCAGUGACAUAUCAAGAUUUAAGGAACUAAUUGGAUAAAGCUUUAAUGUAAAGAUGGAUCAUCUACAAAGUAGUGCUUUCUGACACAUGCGAAUGUUUCCUGUUUCGCUUGUGACAACACGACACCAGCGUUUGGUUGAUGUGUACCCCAGCACACUAGACGAACACAAUUGCAGAGAUACAAGCUAGCUUCAGCUACGAUACACAUUCUAGCAACCAUAUUUCCAAGCGUUGCAAAAUGUUGCACCAUCUUCAAACGCUUCCCUGAUGAUGUUGAUGAUCCUAGUUUGUUGCGAUGUUACGACACCGAAGAUGUACUGCGAUGCACACAUUGCCCCUGAUAUUCGACUGGAAUGUAUUCUCUACCCCUGAUAUGACAUCACACAUAUAGACGACCAAGUUGGUUACCUGCACAAUCGUGUCUGCAGUACAUGCGAGUGCUCCAAACCUGUAGGAAGAAUUCUGCGAAUGCGGCCUACAGAUUGGGGCAGCUCUGAUGCCACACGACGUUACGUUUUCUAAACUCUCCGAGGCUUUCAUUUCUGCUCAUCGAAGUUCCAAACCUUAUCAGCAUAUGCUUCUCACAAGUUUCGUGCAAACAUACACCUUGAAGAUCGGAAGCUCUGGAAGAGCAAAUCAGUUACUAGCUGCUGGAAACACGCAAGAGUACUGGAGAGAGGCUAAAAUAAUACACUUAGGUGUACAGAAUGGGUUCCACAUUCCUCUGAGAUUCACGUACGUGAGGGAGAUCUUCUACAACAACUUCAGAACACGGUUCCACGCGCGCUUAGGUGUUUCUGCAUCUGCGUAAGUGGAUACUUGAUCAUACAUUUAUAAGACAGGCGAUAUCGUUCACCAAGAAGUUCGAAACAUUGUGCUGCCAAAUAUCAUCCAGCAAUCAAGAAUCAAUUGGAUACAAGAUUGACGUCGGCUUCUCAACCUGACUAGUGACCGUCCGCUGCUAUGCAGAUGGUGUAGUUUUGUUUUGUUGCAAGGCGCUUCAAGUUCAAUCAACCCGUGUGCUCAACAAGUAAGUUGUCCUAGCUCGAUCGUUUCGUGCUAGACAACAGGACCGUGUGUGUGCGUAUGCGUGUGGGCUUUUUUCCUCCUUGGAAGAUCUCGCAAGUGAUCGGAUGUUCCCGCCCAAGGGCUCACAGAAUGGAGAUCGGAUCAUAACGAGUUCAAAGCUGCUGGUACGCUUGCCACACUUUGGUCGUCCUCGUUGGAAGGAGAAGUCACAUCAGCAUCUUUGAUGUCCAUGUGGUACCCUUCAACCCACCACGGCCGCACACAGAUGAUGCUUUGUUCCCGAGUUUGUACGGUCGAUUGCGCAGAGCCUUGCGAUGCACUUCGGUCUUGUUUCCAUGUGCAUCUGGAUGCUGUUGAUAUGGAGGCGGCAGAAAGGCAGUAUUUGUUCUCGAAAGCCCAGGCAAGCGUGAAGAGGAUGCAGAAAGUCGCGAGAAGAUGGGCUCAUCAGUUAGGGUUUUCGGUUCCAGUGCGACGGCAUGGCGGGUUCCUGUGGUGGUGACGGCGGCGGCGGCGGCGGAGGCGGAGGCGGAGGCUCCAGGGUUCCAGCGGCGACGGUUUUGCUCGGCAAGCGCGAAGAACCCCUGGACACGGACCGUGUGCCAGCUGGUGGCAAAGCGAGAAGAGAGCAAAAUCCAACGAUGGCUUUGAUUCCAGACGGCGCGGAGUACGUUUCGAACCGUUUUGACGAGAGUGUUCGAACGCGAAUGGUGACGUCAUUUUUGUGCGAAUGCGUUUUAAGACAUAAGCGCGCCACUAGUGUCACCGGAAUGGGUUGGAAAUGAUUUGAAUGCGGCAUUUCUGGGCAUUAUCUUUGAAAUGGUUGACAGUAUCAUUGCUACGAUCUAGAAAGUAUAGCGAAAGCGAGGAAGUUGAACAUUACUCCAAUUCAUUCUUGAAAGGCGUACCACGGCUUAUCACAACUUUGAACUGAUUGUUACGACCCAUAUCGAAUAUCUUGCGAACCUUGUACUGUUGUUUACGUUGCAAUAAUUUCAACCGAAGCACGUUAGAGAUGGAUAGAGAUGUUUCGAUUGUCGGCUUUUGUAUUAUCUUAUCGAUACAUGACUAUUCUUUCCUGACAUAAUCGAAAUCAAACAUGCGAGAGGAAGAUGCGUAUUAUUAUUUUAUGUAUAUCUACUCACACAAAACCAAACCAUAAGAUAGAGUUGCCAUCAUGUAGAUGUUCCCAAAGUCUCCGAAGGCUAUAAACAAAAACACGAUCCUAUACUGUAAUCUAGACAUGGACACGUGCAAGAUUGAUAGUGCAAUGCCUAAGCAUACGCAUCUCGUUGCUGCAAAUUCUUUGAAGAAUCGUGCACUAUAACAGAAAACAUUGAUUGCAAAGUGAUUACGAUGAUGAAGCAAUUAGUAACCUUUUCCGCGAUUAGGUUCCGCCUCAGGGUGACCUAGAAAAACCAUUCUACCUCUAGAAAUGCUUUCAAACUUGAAGAGGAAUUUAUUCCCAUGCCAAAACAAAAACAAAAAAAGACUACAUUGAAGGUUGCCGAGACGACUAGAAAAAUGCUUUGUUGUACUGUGUUAGCAGGCAUUGAGUAAAGCAGGACGGUUGGAGGUAUAGAUGGAAUGUUGAACUAUCUAUACGAACUCUACCAAAACCGCGAGGCAAGAUAUGUGAACACAAAAAUAAGCAAUUCUGAAGCUCUCGUACCAAACUGAAGCAAAAACGUGAAGUGAACACAGUGGAAUCAAAACACAAUCAAACAAACAAGGACAGGACCUGUGGGAAUGCGGGCGGGCAAACGAAAAAAAAAAGCGGAUUGAGUUUUUAUUUUAUUUUAAGAAAACGUACUUACCAAAGAUUCAGUGAAAAUAAGGAUAAAAGAACGCCAUUACGAUUCAACUGGUGACAGAUGCAUUAUCUCUGACGUGCGCGAGAAUCAAACAUUCUGGGAGCUUAAGCUCAAAACGAUCGUUUUUUAUGUACGAAAACACCCCCUACGGACACAUUGUUUAUCGACGGCAAAGAAUAAAUUGCAAUCGCUUUGCAGGAUCUCCACACCCCCCUCUCCCGGGGUCGUGGAGAUUUUGGGCAAUGCUGAGCCUAGUUGAGUUGUUGUAAAAAAGAAGGACAGAAUCAAGAAAAGAGGAAAAGAUUAUUUAAAAAAGCAGCCGUUUUUGUGUGUUAAACAUUUUCUGCUUUAACUUGUUUGUGCAAACUGUUUGAUGUUGCCCCGUAUCCUCCCGUUCAUAUCCGUCACGGAAAACACCCCCGUGCCCCAACACACACCCGGGCCAUGGGGGUGGUGCAAACCAGAACCAAUUACUCUACCGGGCGGUGGGAGGAUCUCAACCGAAGGGGCAGAACUGAAACAAACCAAUUACUAAAGAAAAAAAAAAGGACUCGAAUAAAACUACAAAUUCCAUUUUCAAACGAAA